rnacentral:rRNA from 1 species
CCUACGGGUGGCAGCAGUGAGGAAUAUUGGUCAAUGGGCGGGAGCCUGAACCAGCCAAGUCGCGUGAGGGAAGACGGUCCUACGGUUUGUAAACGUCUUUUGUCGGGGAGUAACGGGGUCCUUGCGAGGGUCCGAUGAGAGUACCUGGAGAAAAAGCAUGGGUUAACACCGUGCCAGCAGCCGCGGUAAUCCGGAGGAUGCGAUGGUUUUCCGGAUUGUUUGGGUUUAAGGGGUGGUUAGGCGGGCUGUUAAGUCAGCGGUAAAAUGUCGGGACUCAACCCCGGCCUGCCGUUGAAACUGGCGGCCUCGAGUGGGCGAGAGGUAUGCGGAAUGCGUGGUGUAGCAGUGAAAUGCAUAGAUAUCACGCAGAACUCCGAUUGCGAAGGCAGCAUACCGGCGCCCGACUGACGCUGAGGCACGAAAGCGUGGGUAUCGAACAGGAUUAGAUACCCGAGUAGUC